rnacentral:rRNA from 1 species
GACGAACGCUGGCGGCGUGCUUAAGACAUGCAAGUCGAACGCAGUCUUCGGACUGAGUGGCGCACGGGUGAGUAACACGUAACUGACCUACCCCCAAGUCGCGAAUAACCAGCCGAAAGGAUGGCUAAUACGUGAUGUGAUGAUCCGCUGUGGCGGAUCAUUAAAGACUUGAUCGCUUGGGGAUGGGGUUGCGUUCCAUCAGGUAGUUGGUAAGGUAAAGGCUUACCAAGGCAACGACGGAUAGCCGGCCUGGGAGGGUGGCCGGCCACAGGGGCACUGAGACACGGGUCCCACUCCUACGGGAGGCAGCAGUUAGGAAUCUUCCACAAUGGGCGCAAGCCUGAUGGAGCGACGCCGCGUGAGGGAUGAAGGUUCUCGGAUCGUAAACCUCUGAACCAACGACGAAAGACCCGACAAGGGAGAUGACGGUAGUUGGGUAAUAGCACCGGCUAACUCCGUGCCAGCAGCCGCCGUAACAC